rnacentral:rRNA from 1 species
AGUGAACGCUGGCGGCGUGCUUAACACAUGCAAGUCGAACGAGAACGGGUAUUAGCUUGCUAAUACUGUCAGCUAAGUGGCGCACGGGUGAGUAAUAUAUAGUUAAUCUGCCCUAGAGAAGGGGAUAACGUUUGGAAACGGACGCUAAAACCCUAUAUGCCUUUAAAACAGAAGUUUGCAAGGGAAAUAUUUAUAGCUCUAGGAUGAGACUGUACGGUAUCAGUUAGUUGGUGAGGUAAUGGCUCACCAAGACAAUGACACCUAACUGGUUUGAGAGGAUGAUCAGUCACACUGGAACUGAGACACGGUCCAGACUCCUACGGGANGCAGCAGUGGGGAAUAUUGCACAAUGGAGGAAACUCUGAUGCAGCAACGCCGCGUGGAGGAUGACACUUUUCGGAGCGUAAACUCCUUUUAUAUAGGAAGAUAAUGACGGUACUAUAUGAAUAAGCACCGGCUAACUCCGUGCCAGCAGCCGCGGUAAUACGGAGGGUGCAAGCGUUACUCGGAAUCGCUGGGCGUAAAGAGCGUGUAGGCGGAUAGAU